rnacentral:rRNA from 1 species
CCUACGGGAGGCAGCAGUGGGGAAUCUUGCGCAAUGGGCGAAAGCCUGACGCAGCAACGCCGCGUGCGGGAUGAAGGCUUUCGGGCUGUAAACCGCUUUCAGCAGGAACGAAACUGACGGUACCUGCAGAAGAAGGAGCGGCCAACUACGUGCCAGCAGCCGCGGUGACACGUAGGCUCCAAGCGUUGUCCGGAUUUAUUGGGCGUAAAGAGCUCGUAGGCGGUUGAGUAAGUCGGGUGUGAAAACUCUGGGCUUAACCCGGAGACGCCACUCGAUACUGCUCUGACUUGAGUUCAGGAGGGGAGUGGGGAAUUCCUAGUGUAGCGGUGAAAUGCGCAGAUAUUAGGAGGAACACCGGUGGCGAAGGCGCCACUCUGGACUGAAACUGACGCUGAGGAGCGAAAGCAUGGGUAGCAAACAGGAUUAGAUACCCUGGUAGUCCAUGCCGUAAACGGUGGGCACUAGGUGUGGGUUCCAACUAACGGGAUCCGCGCCGUCGCUAACGCAUUAAGUGCCCCGCCUGGGGAGUACGGUCGCAAGACUAAAACUCAAAGGAAUUGACGG